GGUCAAGCGAAUAAGCGCACACGGUGGAUGCCUAGGCGGUCAGAGGCGAUGAAGGACGUGGUAGCCUGCGAAAAGUGUCGGGGAGCUGGCAACAAGCUUUGAUCCGGCAAUAUCCGAAUGGGGAAACCCACUGCUUCGGCAGUAUCCUGCAGUGAAUUCAUAGCUGCUGGAAGCGAACCCGGUGAACUGAAAUAUCUAAGUAACCGGAGGAAAAGAAAUCAACCGAGAUUCCCUAAGUAGUGACGAGCGAACGGGGAAUNNNNNNNNNNNNNNNNNNNNNNNNNNNNNNNNNNNNNNNNNNNNNNNNNNNNNNNNNNNNNNNNNNNNNNNNNNNNNNNNNNNNNNNNNNNNNNNNNUCAGCCCUUAAGCUGGAAUGGCUUUAGAAAAACAAUCUGGAAAGAUUGGCCAUAGAAGGUGAUAGCCCUGUAUUUAAAAGGGCCACUCCAGUGAAGACGAGUAGGGCGGGGCACGUGAAACCCUGUCUGAAUAUGGGGGGACCAUCCUCCAAGGCUAAAUACUCCUGACCGACCGAUAGUGAACCAGUACCGUGAGGGAAAGGCGAAAAGAACCCCGGAGAGGGGAGUGAAAUAGAUCCUGAAACCGUGUGCGUACAAGCAGUAGGAGCUCGCAAGAGUGACUGCGUACCUUUUGUAUAAUGGGUCAGCGACUUACUGUUCGUGGCAAGCUUAACCGUAUAGGGGAGGCGAAGGGAAACCGAGUCUGAUAAGGGCGCAUAGUCGCGGGCAGUAGACCCGAAACCGGGUGAUCUAGUCAUGGCCAGGGUGAAGGUGCCGUAACAGGUACUGGAGGCCCGAACCCACGUCUGUUGCAAAAGACGGGGAUGAGCUGUGAUUAGGAGUGAAAAGCUAAUCGAACCCGGAGAUAGCUGGUUCUCCUCGAAAGCUAUUUAGGUAGCGCCUCGGACGAAUACUACUGGGGGUAGAGCACUGUUAUGGCUAGGGGGUCAUCGCGACUUACCAAACCAUUGCAAACUCCGAAUACCAGUACGUACUAUCCGGGAGACACACGGCGGGUGCUAACGUCCGUCGUGAAAAGGGAAACAACCCAGACCCACAGCUAAGGUCCCAAAUUCACUGCUAAGUGGAAAACGAUGUGGAAAGGCACAGACAGCCAGGAGGUUGGCUUAGAAGCAGCCACCCUUUAAAGAAAGCGUAAUAGCUCACUGGUCGAGUCGGUCUGCGCGGAAGAUUUAACGGGGCUAAGCAGUGAACCGAAGCUUGGGGUGCAUAAAACUUGUUUUAUGCGCGGUAGAGGAGCGUUCCGUAAGCCUGCGAAGGUGGAUUGAGAAGUCUGCUGGAGGUAUCGGAAGUGCGAAUGCUGACAUGAGUAACGAUAAUGCGGGUGAAAAGCCCGCACGCCGAAAGCCCAAGGUUUCCUUGCGCAACGUUAAUCGACGCAGGGUUAGUCGGUCCCUAAGGCGAGGGCGAAAGCCGUAGUCGAUGGGAAGCAGGUUAAUAUUCCUGCACCUCGCGUGAGUGCGAUGGAGGGACGGAGAAGGUUAGGUGUACCGGGCGUUGGUUGUCCCGGGGAAAGGCGGUAGGUUUGGAUCUUUGGCAAAUCCGGGAUCCUUUAAGACCGAGCACCGAGACGAGCCUUUAUGGCGAAGUCACUGAUACCACGCUUCCAGGAAAAGCUCCUAAGCUUCAGCUCACGAAGACCGUACCGUAAACCGACACAGGUGGGUAGGAUGAGAAUUCUCAGGCGCUUGAGAGAACUCGGGUGAAGGAACUAGGCAACAUGGCACCGUAACUUCGGGAGAAGGUGCACCCUUUUUGGUGGCUCAUGCGAGCUAUAGCUGAAGAGGGUCGCAGAAACCAGGCCGCUGCGACUGUUUAUCAAAAACACAGCACUCUGCAAACACGAAAGUGGACGUAUAGGGUGUGACGCCUGCCCGGUGCUGGAAGGUUAAUUGAUGGGGUCAGCCGCAAGGCGAAGCUCUUGAUCGAAGCCCCAGUAAACGGCGGCCGUAACUAUAACGGUCCUAAGGUAGCGAAAUUCCUUGUCGGGUAAGUUCCGACCUGCACGAAUGGCGUAACGACAGCGGCGCUGUCUCCACCCGAGACUCAGUGAAAUUGAAAUCGCUGUGAAGAUGCAGCGUUCCCGUGGCAAGACGGAAAGACCCCGUGAACCUUUACUAUAGCUUUACACUGAACGUUGAGUUCGUCUGUGUAGGAUAGGUGGGAGGCUAUGAAACUGUGGCGCUAGCUGCAGUGGAGCCAUCCUUGAAAUACCACCCUGUCGUGCUUGACGUUCUAACCUAGAUCCGUUAUCCGGAUCAGGGACCGUGUAUGGUGGGUAGUUUGACUGGGGCGGUCUCCUCCUAAAGAGUAACGGAGGAGCACGAAGGUACGCUCAGCGCGGUCGGACAUCGCGCACUGUGUGCAAAGGCAUAAGCGUGCUUGACUGCAAGAUCGACGGAUCAAGCAGGUACGAAAGUAGGUCUUAGUGAUCCGGUGGUUCUGUAUGGAAGGGCCAUCGCUCAACGGAUAAAAGGUACUCCGGGGAUAACAGGCUGAUACCGCCCAAGAGUUCAUAUCGACGGCGGUGUUUGGCACCUCGAUGUCGGCUCAUCACAUCCUGGGGCUGUAGUCGGUCCCAAGGGUAUGGCUGUUCGCCAUUUAAAGUGGUACGCGAGCUGGGUUCAGAACGUCGUGAGACAGUUCGGUCCCUAUCUGCCAUGGGCGUUGGAAGUUUGAGAGGGGCUGCUCCUAGUACGAGAGGACCGGAGUGGACGAACCUCUGGUGUUCCGGUUGUCACGCCAGUGGCAUUGCCGGGUAGCUAUGUUCGGAAGCGAUAACCGCUGAAAGCAUCUAAGCGGGAAGCGCGCCUCAAGAUGAGACUUCCCGGGGCACAAGCCCCCUAAAGGAACCAUAUAGACUAUGUGGUUGAUAGGUCAGGUGUGUAAGUACAGCAAUGUAUUGAGCUAACUGAUACUAAUGAUCCGUGCGGCUUGACCAU
rnacentral:rRNA from 1 species